rnacentral:rRNA from 1 species
GACGAACGCUGGCGGCGUGCUUAACACAUGCAAGUCGAACGGAAAGGCCCUGCUUUUGUGGGGUGCUCGAGUGGCGAACGGCCCCGUAACACGUGAGUAACCUGCCCUUGACUUUGGGAUAACUUCAGGAAACUGGGGCUAAUACCGGAUAGGAGCUCCUGCUGCAUGGUGGGGGUUGGAAAGUUUCGGCGGUUGGGGAUGGACUCGCGGCUUAUCAGCUUGUUGGUGGGGUAGUGGCUUACCAAGGCUUUGACGGGUAGCCGGCCUGAGAGGGUGACCGGCCACAUUGGGACUGAGAUACGGCCCAGACUCCUACGGGAGGCAGCAGUGGGGAAUAUUGCACAAUGGGCGGAAGCCUGAUGCAGCAACGCCGCGUGCGGGAUGACGGCCUUCGGGUUGUAAACCGCUUUCGCCUGUGGCGAAGCGUGAGUGACGGUAAUGGGUAAAGAAGCACCGGCUAACUACGUG